rnacentral:rRNA from 1 species
GUGGGGGGGGGUGCUAUAAUGCAAGUCGAACGAUGAAGCUCUAGCUUGCUAGAGUGGAUUAGUGGCGCACGGGUGAGUAAUGCAUAGAUAACAUGCCCUUUAGUCUAGGAUAGCCAUUGGAAACGAUGAUUAAUACUGGAUACUCCUUACGAGGGAAAGUUUUUCGCUAAAGGAUUGGUCUAUGUCCUAUCAGCUUGUUGGUGAGGUAAUGGCUCACCAAGGCUAUGACGGGUAUCCGGCCUGAGAGGGUGAACGGACACACUGGAACUGAGACACGGUCCAGACUCCUACGGGAGGCAGCAGUAGGGAAUAUUGCUCAAUGGGGGAAACCCUGAAGCAGCAACGCCGCGUGGAGGAUGAAGGUUUUCGGAUUGUAAACUCCUUUUGUUAGAGAAGAUAAUGACGGUAUCUAACGAAUAAGCACCGGCUAACUCUGUGCCAGCAGCCGCGGUAAUACGGAGGGUGCAAGCGUUACUCGGAAUCACUGGGCGUAAAGAGCGCGUAGGCGGGAUAGCAAGUCAGAUGUGAAAUCCUAUGGCUUAACCAUAGAACUGCAUUUGAAACUGUUAUUCUAGAGUAUGGGAGAGGUAGGUGGAAUUCUUGGUGUAGGGGUAAAAUCCGUAGAGAUCAAGAGGAAUACUCAUUGCGAAGGAUCGUGUGGUU